CCUCUAUGUUGUAGAGUAAUUUAUUCCUAGAUUAAGUAGAGUAAAUUAAUGAAUUUAGAAGGCAAAAGAUUAUGUACCAACCUUUUGGAAAUACUUAUUUUGUCCUUCUCAAAAAAUGGUUUAGUUCAAGCGCACUAAUGAGUAUUUGACCGAAAAGAAUGGAAUAUAUAGGUUAAAUGAAUUUUACUCCCUUUUAUUUUGUUUUCAAACAUAGCAUUUUAAUUUUUUUGCUUACCAAAUUAACUAUUAGACUUGAGUUAGUCUUUCCUAAGAACAUAUUUAACAAGACGACUAGAAAUCAAAAUGUACUUAUAUUUUUCUUGAGCCUCUCUAUACUCCUAAUCCCCUUCUCUUUGCACCCAUGUACUCACUCACCUCCGCCUCGAUCUGGUCGGUCUUGGUCGCUGUGCGCCACCAAUCAUUCGGUCUUGCUCUUUUUUCUUCUUCCUACUGCGCUUUUCUUGUGCCACAACCCCCCUCAUUGUGCUCUAUUCGAGCAUUGACAACCUCAUUCUACUUUCGGCUACUCUCUCU
rnacentral:lncRNA from 1 species